UUACACUAUGUGCUAUGAGCAACUUGCAGUUUUCUUACCUAAAAUAUUGAUGUGCAUUAUUUUGCCAGUCUGUGAUUGGUGUUGACGAAGGCUGGCUCUGCAUUCCCAGAACCCAACACAAGAGAACACACAUUGUGCGAGGUCAUGGGCAGUGUAUAACAGAUUAUCGUCGGGUUUGAACGCACGUUCUGUGAGGUCCUAGGCAGUGCAUAACAGAUUGUCGUCGUGUUUCAAAGACAACUGUCCUACAUUUGAACAAUAUGUGGGAGCAAAGAAUGCAUACAGAUGUUUUCUUCAAUGAAACAAAUGUGCAGUCUAGUAUGAAAUUAAAAAAUAGAGCAUCGAAAAAAAAGGGCAAAGACGUUUCAAAUAAACUUUCAAUGAUAGUGGCCAAGAAUUGAGAGCAUUCAAACAAGGUUUAUACUUUCAAGGCCAAACCCCUAGAGCACUUCAACAAAUUAAGAGACCAAUAUGCAUCGGUUGGCUUCUGCCCAAGCCCUGGAACAAUAGAAUGAUUGUGCACGGAUCUGAAAAUUGAGAUAAUGGAUGUCAAACUCCUCAUGCUUGCUUGGAAGAUGUGAGCUGCACGACAAGGAUAUUUUACUUUGGAGGAGUGGCACAGAGGCCUUCAAUCAUUGAAAGUCAAUACCAUUGAUAAGUUGAAGAAUUCACUUCCUGCAUUAGAGCAAGAGGUGAAAGUCAAUACCAUGUAUAUGAGAUCACAUAGGAAGUCAUAUAUAUAGGCAUGUGAAAAUGUUGAAUCUGGCUCAUUCCUUAAGUGGAGUAAUAUCUUUUGUUCCCAGUCUGAUGAUUAUUUUGUUGUAUUUAACAUUGUUAAGGUUAUGCAUUCCCAAAACUUCUGGGACUUUUA